GACGGUACCGUAAGAAUAAGCGCCGGCUAACUACGUGCCAGCAGCCGCGGUAAUACGUAGGGUGCGAGCGUUAAUCGGAAUUACUGGGCGUAAAGCGUGCGCAGGCGGUUAUGUAAGACAGAUGUGAAAUCCCCGGGCUCAACCUGGGAACUGCAUUUGUGACUGCAUGGCUAGAGUACGGUAGAGGGGGAUGGAAUUCCGCGUGUAGCAGUGAAAUGCGUAGAUAUGCGGAGGAACACCGAUGGCGAAGGCAAUCCCCUGGACCUGUACUGACGCUCAUGCACGAAAGCGUGGGGAGCAAACAGGAUUAGAUACCCUGGUAGUCCACGCCCUAAACGAUGUCAACUGGUUGUUGGGAAUUAGUUUUCUCAGUAAC
rnacentral:rRNA from 1 species